rnacentral:rRNA from 1 species
GGCUUUUUGAAAAUAAUUUAAGGUCGGGCCUGCCCAAUGAUUUAAUUAAAUGGCCGCGGUAUAUUGACCGUGCAAAGGUAGCAUAAUCAUUAGUUUUUUAAUUGAAAGCUUGCAUGAAGGGUUUAAUGAAAAAAAUACUGUCUCUAUUUAAGUUUAUUAGAAAUUUAUUUUUAAGUAAAAAAGCUUAAAUGUAUAUUGAAGACGAGAAGACCCUAUAGAGUUUAAUAUUUUGUGUAAUAAUGGUAUUAUUUAUUAAGAAUUUUAAGAAUUUGUUAUUUCAAGUAUUUAAUUGGGGUGAUUUAAAAAUUAGUUAAACUUUUUUUAUAUUUUUACAUUGAUGAAUGAAUUAAUGAUCCUUUAUUUAAGAUUAAAAGAUAAAAUUACCUUAGGGAUAACAGCGUAAUUUUUUUUAGAGUUCUUAUCGAAAGAAAAGAUUGCGACCUCGAUGUUGGAUUAAAAUGAAUUAUUGGUGUAGAAGCUAAUAAAUUAGGUCUGUUCGACCUUUAAAUUUUUACAUGAUCUGAGUUUAAACCGGUGUAAG